rnacentral:rRNA from 1 species
AGAGCGAACGCUGGCGGCAUGCUUAACACAUGCAAGUCGCACGGGCACUUCGGUGUCAGUGGCGGACGGGUGAGUAACGCGUAGGUAUCUAUCCUUGGGUGGGGGACAACUGUGGGAAACUACAGCUAAUACCGCAUGAUAACUGAGGUUUAAAGGCGCAAGUCGCCUGGGGAGGAGCCUGCGUACGAUUAGCUUGUUGGUGGGGUAAAGGCCUACCAAGGCGACGAUCGUUAGCUGGUCUGAGAGGAUGAUCAGCCACAUUGGGACUGAGACACGGCCCAAACUCCUACGGGAGGCAGCAGUGGGGAAUAUUGGACAAUGGGCGAAAGCCUGAUCCAGCAAUGCCGCGUGUGUGAAGAAGGUCUUCGGAUUGUAAAGCACUUUCGACGGGGACGAUGAUGACGGUACCCGUAGAAGAAGCCCGGCUAACUUCGUGCCAGCAGCCGC